GCAACGCCGCGUGGGGGAUGAAGGCUCUCGGGUUGUAAACCCCUUUCAGCAGGGACGAAUCAAGACGGUACCUGCAGAAGAAGCCCCGGCUAACUACGUGCCAGCAGCCGCGGUAAUUAAUA
rnacentral:rRNA from 1 species